UCAAGCGUGUUUGUUGGCAGACGAGCUCAGGAAAGGGACAAGCAGUGGCUGGAGCAUGUGCAGCAGGAGGAUGAGCAUCAGCGACCAAGAAAACUCCACGAGGAAGAAAAACUGAAAAGGGAAGAGAGUGUCAAAAAGAAGGAUGGCGAGGACAAAUGCAGACAGGAAGCACAAGACAAGCUGGGUCGGCUUUUCCAUCAGCAUCAAGAACCAGCUAAGCCAGCUGUCCAGGCACCCUGGUCCACUGCAGAAAAAGGUCCACUUACCAUUUCUGCACAGGAAAAUGUAAAAGUGGUAUAUUACCGAGCACUGUACCCCUUUGAAUCCAGAAGCCAUGAUGAAAUCACUAUCCAGCCAGGAGACAUAGUCAUGGUAAGAAAGACUCCACUGAGAGGGUCAUUUCUGUUGAAGAUUAGCCUCUGUCCUCUUUUUGCACUUUAUUAGACAAUUGUGAGAUUGUCAGUGAGUAUGAAACCCAAUAAUCCAGCAUCUAGAUUUUUAAAGUAUAAUAGAAGCUCAAUCUUAUUUCUUUUCUAUUAAAAUGAAAGGUGGUAUUUAAAAAAACGUAUCCUAACAUCACUUUAAAAUUGAAUUGGUAAAGACAAUGUGUUCUUAUAUUAAAAUCUAUAAAUGAUAAUUUCAGAGUUUAGAUUACUACUUAUAUACUAUGAUUAUAAAUAUAUUUUAUAUAUGAUGUAUAUACUAUAUAAUUAUAUGUGUAUACACACACACACACGGAUCCUCCAAGGUGGGAGGAGGCCAGGAGUCUUUAAGAAAUAGUUAUAAGUGCAAAACACUCUCUCAUCAUUCUCAUAAUUGCAAUGAUAACUUUUGUAUCUUUCGUCAAAUCAUCUUUUUUCCCACUUUGAAUUAUGUAAAAAGAGUAAUGAAUUAUACAGUUAAUCUGCUUUCCUACUCUGUAACAGAAGAUAGAAUUUUGCUGUUAUUGUUUCUUUCCUUUAACUGUAAUAAUAAUCUUAUGAUGUGACUGAAACUAUAUGAACCAGUUUCAGAAAGAAAAUCAGACAACAUGGUUGAUCUAAAUUAUUUUCUAAAAGAAAAUAGUAGUUCCUUGUUCUAGUUACUCACUUUAGAGUCUUAGAAAUAGUCAGCUUUGCAUUACUCUUAGCAUUACUUUAAAAGAUAAUUUAGAUUUUGUUGUUGUUGUUGACACAAGUUCUCGCUCUGUUACCCAGGCUGGAGUGCAGUAAUGUGAUAAUAGCUCACUGCAACCUCUGCCUCCUGGGCUCAAGCAAAGCAAUCCUCUCACCUCAUCCUCCCAAGUAGCUGGAACCACAGGCAUGCACCACCAUGCCCAGCUAAUUUUUGUGUUUUUUGUAGAGUCAGGGUUUCUCUGUGUUGCCCAGUCUGGUCUUGAAUUCCUGGGCUCAAACGAUCCUCCUACCUCAGCCUCCCAAAAUGCUGAAAUUACAGUCAUGAGCCACCAUGCCUGGCCUAGAAUUUUUAAAGAACUAUGAAAGUUAACAAUUGAGACAAACAUAUUUCUUGCCCAAGGACUGUAUGUCUUUGAAGUAUAAAGGGUGUUGUACAGGUCAUUAUACUAUUACUCAUGCAUUCAUCUUGCCAUGUACACUUCAUAUCUCUGUGUAUAGGAUAGAUCUUUAAUAGGCUAAAAUACAUAAACAAUAUGUUUGGUACUUAGAUAAAUCAAUGCCUCUGUCCCCUUUUUUUCUUUCUCUAACAGCUGCUUUCUCUGUAAUUACCAUGGGCUAGAAGAAGC
ensembl:lincRNA